rnacentral:rRNA from 1 species
GAUGAACGCUAGCGGCAGGCCUAACACAUGCAAGUCGAGGGAGAAGCCCUUUCGGGGGCAGAAACCGGCGCACGGGUGCGUAACGCGUAUGCAACCUACCUUUCACAGGGGGAUAGCCCGAAGAAAUUUGGAUUAAUACCCCAUAAUAUUAUUGGAUGGCAUCAUUUGAUAAUUAAAACUGCGGUGGUGAAAGAUGGGCAUGCGUCCUAUUAGCUAGUUGGAGUGGUAACGGCACCCCAAGGCUACGAUAGGUAGGGGUCCUGAGAGGGAGAUCCCCCACACUGGUACUGAGAUAGGGACCAGACUCCUACGGGAGGCAGCAGUGAGGAAUAUUGGUCAAUGGUCGGAAGACUGAACCAGCCAUGCCGCGUGCAGGAAGAAUGCCUUAUGGGUUGUAAACUGCUUUUAUAUGGGAAGAAUAAGGCGUACGUGUACGUUGAUGACGGUACCAUAUGAAUAAGCAUCGGCUAACUCCGUG